UAGCGAUGAAAAACAAAGGGAAAGCGUGAAUUCUAAAGACAAUAGCAAAAUAUCUGACGCGCUAUUUUGCUAAGUUCGAUAAAACAAUGCAAUUAGCACCAUUGUUACGAUGGUGCUCAGUUACAUCCAGAUUGUGAUUUAGAAAGAACAGUAAAACAAAACAAUCCUUUGCCACCUGAACGCAACGUCAUACGUCAGCAGCAUGAAACGCACCAACCCUUACGGCAACGAGAACAAUUAUCACAGUGGUAAGGUUGCACACAACACCAAGAAAAACAUUGACUUGACAAUAUGAACGGAGCAUGGAACGUACAUGUGUGAUAAAAUGAUAAUCAUUUAUCAUCAGCAACACAUUGUUUCAUCGUCACAAAAUGAGCUUUAUCAAUUUUCUUUAAUUCUUUAUUUUAGGCCCUCCAAUCCCCGCAAAAGUCAGAGAAGACAGAGGACCUUUUUUACGAAAAAACAAACUGUCAUCCUAGAGGAAGCGUUCCAGUACGAGCGAUAUCCUGGCAUCAAGAUCCGGGAAAAACUUGCCGGCGGGAACUUGACAUAGACGAGUCGAGAAUCCAGGUUUGGUUUGAAAAUCGUCGCUCUCGUCAAAACGGACAGAAAAAGAAGACAGAAGUUCGCUCAGUACAAUCAUCUGUCGCAUCUUCAGCAUCGAUCCGUCCCAUCCACAAAUCAUCCGAGUCGAGUCAUGUCCAUCCAGCUCCUCUGCUUACUUACAGCAACACUAAGCCGCUAUCACACGUGGACUGUACUGCGCCCGCGCCAGUCUUCCCGUCAUACUUCACAAGCCCAAGACUCGCCACAGGUAUCCCGAGUCCGUGGAUGUGCGCACCUUCCAGUCAAACUCGCACUGCUGACGAGUUAGCCGCCGCAAUAGGACUGAUGGGCGUAUAUGGAUCAAUACCUUACAGAUUCGACUAACAUCUUUAACAUAUGUUUAUAGCCUUGUGCCUAAGUUAUUACGAAUAUCUGUUGUAUAUUUUAGAUUGAAGAUAUAAAAUAAAGUACAUUUUGUCAAUGAAAAA